rfam:Picea glauca, whole genome shotgun sequence.
UACUACAACAUAGCAUUAAUGCACUCGAUCCCAUUAGAACUUCACAGUUAAGCGUGCUCAGGCUAGAGUAGUACUGGGAUGGGUGACCGCCUGGGAAGUCCUAGUGUGUUAC